UGGGUCUCAACGUGGGGAAGAAGCCAGACACAGUUUGAGAUUCAACAGGCAGCAAACAGGAACACACAGAAUUUUAUAUUCUCUCGUGGCUGGAUUAAGGAGUUUUACCUUUUCCGCCUGCCUGCACUCAGCCUGUGCCCACUUCAAGGGCAUUUAACUGCCUCCGUUUCCAAUUAUUCCCACUCAGGUAGAGCCAAAAGGUAAAAACAAGCAGGUGGUGUGAUGUUAUCUGCUUCUACCUCUCUUUUUUUUCUUUUUCUUUUUUGGUUAGGUUCCAUAGAAGUAAAUCUAAAAAGAAGUCACCCACAACAAGAGGAGAGCUGCACCUGCCAAACAGUUUUAAGAACCUUAUGAAAGAGCAAAAGUUCCUUUGAUCUCUCCUGUGUUAAAGGAGCUUGCUAUUGCAUGCAAGCUCCCAACAUGGGGUGCAGAGCCUAAUUUUCAAAAGAGACGCAGAUUCCAGUGAUAUGCAUUAACCUAAAUUAGAGGUUAUUAAGAAAACAUGAAGCAGCUGUCCAGUAAGAGAAAAGGAACUGGCACCCAAAAUCUUUUAAGCCAUCAAGCCCAGGGCCAAAUCCAGCCCUGAGGACCACCAGGUGGACCCUUCAAGUUACCCAGGUAGGAACAGUGUCUGUGGUGGGCCCUCCCCAAAGUAGCCCUCCUGUAAAAUUCAGGUGCCAAGAUUUGCUCAAAAGAGAAAUGAACUGUGAAAUGGCAGGCGGUGCCCUGGAGAUUAUAUCUCCUCCAUCACACGACGUGUCCGUGGUUCUCAGUAACGAGCAAACAAGCAGAGCACCCUGCGCAUGCUCAGAGGCAUGCUAAGUUAGAUGACAGGGGCUGAGGCCUGGCAUUCACAACUCGUGUUAUUUCUUUGUAUUUCUCCAAACAGUUCUGGCUGGCACACACGGUUCUCUCCCCUCCCUGCAACAUUGAGAGGUGGGUUAUGCUGAGAGAAUGAGAGUUAGUACCUGGCUGAUAGCCAUCCAGUGAACUUUGCAGGUGAGCAUGGAUUUGAAGUCUGUUGCAAGUCCAGUGCCGAAGCAAGUAUACCAUGCUGUGCGUCAAGAACUGGGUAUUAGCUGAGCUCUUUCAGUUCAAGACUAAGUCACAGCUCAUUUCAUUCUUCAGGCAUCACCUCCUUCUACGCAGCCUUCCAAUCGCCAAAGUACGCCAAUGGCCUCUUAAACUCAACUUUAUUAGGAGCUGCCAUUUUGCACUACUUGAAUUGUCUGCUUAUAGCGUUUUGCUACCUGCAGCCCAAUGUUGGCGGGUGACACUCAUUAAGUAGUCCAUCCAAUAUUUCAGAAUGCAUGCCCCUCUUUCUCCUGUUAAAUACUAAACUCAGGGUCAAAACCUGAAGGUCAACACAUGCAGCAGAUGCAAAUUUGUACAAUAAAGCCUGGUGGUUUCAUUUUGCAUGAAAAGCAGACUCGGGAGGCUCCAAUUGAAGUCAAGAAGCAACAGAGCUUUACAAAGGUAAAUAUCAAUGUAGAACGUCUCGACUGGGUAGGUGAGGAGAGAGAAGCGGCUUGGGGGAGUUUUUGAGCAGGAAAGUAACCAAAAGAAUCAGCCCCUCCCCAUGGCACUCAGAUCAAAGCCUUCAGUGGCUGCUUUUCUUUUUAAGUUGUCUUAUUACACAAAUUCAUGUGCUGUUUGCCUCUGAGAUCCCAACUUUUACAGGCAAGCAACAUGUCUCCCUAACAUCUAAUCAGCCACAUAUGAGUGCCCUUUCACACUGAAUACAUUUGGAUGAAUGGACAGAAAUCUUUUGGAUUCCAAAGGAUGAAAAUGUUGGAUUCAGCUAUACUGAAAGACCUGCCAUUUUUGGCGCUAAUCUUUUCAUUCCAGCUGGAUAUUUUUAAUUGUUGUGGCCUGCUCUGGGACCUCAGGACGAAGGGUGGGAAAUAAAUCAAAAUAAUACUAACUUUGUAAGCAAGAAAUGAUGCCUAAAUUUUCUUGCUUUUGCCCCUUCAUCCCUCUUCCUUUUGUGUUGUGUCUUUUAGAUUGUAAGCCUGGAGGUUGGGACUGCCUUUAUCACUGGGAUUUAUAGAGGGAGCCUGAAAAGCAGGAUUUUAAAAAUGCUUUGAGUAAAUAAACAAACCGCGAUGUGCUCUUUUAAUUUAAAAAAAAUUCUGAAAGCAAUGUUUUAUCGCAACUUGUACCAGCUAGGAUUACCUUCUGAAAAGAAGUGCGAACUAGGAGUCCAAAGGAUGUAGGCUGUUAUGUUCUGCAAAGCCAAGGAUGCAUCUGUUCUAAGAAAAGGGAACAUUCUCAAAGUUACCUUUCCCAGAAGUUGUUCAGUCUCAUGAAAGAAUAAGGCCAGCCUGAAGUAGCCAGAGCUUCCCACUCCUUCGCUUGGCAAAGCACCAUGACGGUUUCUAGCAGCAACUAGAUAAGAGAUGCGGGGAACUCUUGAAGAAUACAAGGAGUAAAACAUCAAGGACACUGCAAGGCAGUUCAAGGUCACUGGUUGCAAAGAGGAAGGCUAGAAAGACACAGAGAAACUCCAGACACAUCGCGUGGCUGUGCAUACAUUCAGCAUAUGACAGCCACAUUACUGACCAGAAUCUGUUGGUCGCAAGAUAACUCACUAGUUUGAAAACAGUUUUGCGGACUUCUUAUGCAUUUUCAGGCACAAUUCUAACUGUGUUAACCUUGAAAGACCUCUAUAGCUUGCAGCCACUCAAAGAACCACCAGCUCCAACAGGAUGACCCCAUCUGUCAAUUAAGAUAAUCAGAGGCCAGGUGCUCCCCACCCGACCCUCUUUCCGAUGUUUUGAUUGAUGGACAACAGGCAAAGUCCUUCGUAUCUGAGCAGACCGUUGUGAGAACAGACAACACUGAGCUUGAUAAACCAAGACAGCUUCCUAUAUUCCUAGGUUUCCCUUCCUAGUCCUCUCCUAUGCAACCUCAUGUGACCAGUGACCAAUUCGACAAUAUUUUUAAAAACCUAAUCAUCUAACAAAUAAUGCAGAGCAAGUCCACAGUGAACAGAAUCCAUCAUGCCACUGCCAUGCCAUGGCACCAGUCCUCAUGAUGACCAGAAGAAAAGCAUUUGGCGUCACCUAGAAGGGGGGAGAGGGUGCAAUGCUGCGUCAGAAGGCACCCAACACACACAACUCCUGCUGUGUCACAGGACUACAGCCAGGAUGCUCACUUUACCGAAGAAUAGGGACGAAUUGGAUUGACAGCAAAGGUUUGCAAACUCAUUUUAUAAUGACCUCCCUAAGUCAAGAAAAACAGCACACUAUUUGGGCAUCAUGAAGGCAGAAAGACAGCUCAACUAGCAGCAUUUACUGUCAUCCUUGCCCAAGGGCAGAGAGAAUUCCAAACAGAAACUGCACUUUAAAAAGGCUUAAAAAAAGAAAAAGAAAUGUGUUGUGUUUGUGUGUGGGCAGAAGAGAGGAAGGGGUUGCCUUAUGGAUUUACCGUGCCGUCAAUCAUCACAGGUAUAGGACAUUGUUCUCAUUAGGGAAGAGGUGGG